ensembl:lncRNA MIR99AHG mir-99a-let-7c cluster host gene
GAAAUGGAACAGGGGCAGAAAAUAGCACACUUUUACUCUACGCAACUGUUGCUUUUUCAUGAUCUUCAGGAAUUUUACUGGGAUAAUUAUCCAAAUAAAUUGCAAGCAUUCUAUCCAAAUGGAGCUCUUUCUGAGAUGAAGAGAAUUCUCAAUGUCAAGAUUUGAACAAGAAGAGAAUGGAAUACACAAUAUGCAACUUUCAUCCUACAGCUCCAUUGAUGGACAUCCAUAAAAAUUCAUCAGAGAGCAUUUUACUACUGAGCUGCAAAGGUAGGAAAAAUAAAUUUUUUUUGGUUAGAAAAUAUACUUCUUUCAUCUGCGUUUCAAUAAUUUAUUCCCCUUGUUAGAUAUACAUGGAAUUGAUAUUGCUUAUUCUGACUAAGUGAAAAGUGUUAUUUCUACUUACUGCUCAAUUAGAAACAUGUAGUGUUUAAUUGUCAGUUUGAAUUUUUCUUUCAUACUAUUACAGUUUAUAUUUUACUAUAGGCAGAAUUUCCUCUUUAUCCUAAAUUUUGAUAUUCUCCAUAAUUUCAUCGUGCCUUGACAUUGCUGUAUAUAAUUUCUAUACAUCAGGAAGGCAAUUCUGUGUGCAUGUGUGUGUGUAUAUAUAUAGUUAGAAGUUAGAAACUGAAACUCUUUUUUGUCUACCAUCAUUUCAUAUUUUUCUUGCUAUUUCAAACCUAUAAUUUUUAAAGAAACGACUAACGUAAUCAUUCAUAGAAUAUGCUGUCAGUAACUUAACAAUAUAAAUGUUAACAUGGAGGCAUUUAGUUCAGCAUUUGCUUUACUUAAUAGAGUGCAGAAAAUGUGGCCCUUUUCUCAGUUAGGGUGUAUGUGAAGAUAAAUUUAGAAUUUCUAGACUAGUAAAUACUUCUCUGAUAAUAACUUAAUUAUAGCUAUUUCAAACCAAAUUGUUUAAUUGUGGUGAAUCAUAUGUAAAUUGUUCAGAUGUAGGUCAACACCCACGCCCACAUUCUAGCACCUCUUUCCUAAUUCAAGACAACUUUGCAGUGCCUAAAAGAGCUGAACAGUGCAGAUUAGAGACAUAAGACAAAAAAAAAAAAAAAA